UUGUUUCCUCUUUUACGUGGCUUAAUAUGGAAAAGCCAACAUUUUGCCUUGUUGUCAAUCUUCUAGCUUCCUCCAAGGAAAUAAAAACCCCAACUCAUUUUCUCUCUCUCACUCACUGUCCUCCUUCUUCCUCUGUUCUGUCCGUCAAAUUAAGCAACAUACUCUCAUUUUUUAUUCCUUAUUCCUUCAUCAAAGUUGUAGAUCUCUUCGAGUUAUUGAAUUUAGACUCAAAAAUCGCUCGAUUCGGAGUUCGGAGCUAUGAGUUACGCCCUUUGCAAGUCUGCUGUUAUUUCUGAAAUUCUGAUGCGUUGCUGCUGUUCGGUGUUGCUGUGUGGGUUCUUUAAGUUCAAUUUUCUCUCUCCUCUGUUGUUGUGCUGCUGCCAUGGCUUGCUCCCCUCUUGUUGUUCGUCCCUGCUUAAUUUGAGCAGAGGUACAAUACUGCUCUCCUUAAAACAAUUCACUUAGAGAUUGUGAUUAUUUGUUUUGGUUAAUUAAGUUAGGCCUAAAACUGAUUUUGCCAUACAAAUAUGUUUUUGAUCUGUAAAUUGAAAAUCAGAUAUGAUAAAAGUUUGUUCAACUUAAAGAUUAAAUCUUUCCUAUUUAUUUAAUGGGUUGGGUUGAGGUUUAUAAAUUGUAUUUAUAUUUCUUAAGUUAGUUUAUGAAAUCAAAUUAUCAUAAGCCAUGUUGUUUGAUAGUAUCCUCUAUGAAUUAGAAUGAGGUUAAUGGGAGUUAGAGAUUGAUAUAGUGAAAUGGAUUCGUAGAAUGGUUUGUAAAUAAGGAGUUGUGGGUAGUUCAUGAAAGAGUUUAGAAGGUAUGAGAAAGUUAAUUUUUUUAUCUAAUUGGUAGUAAGGAUGUUAAUUGUUGUUAUUAUUGUUUUUGAGGUUAAUGUUGGAGUAUGGCUAUGGAGAUAAUGUUCGGAUUUUGAGCUAUACAUGGUUAUCAAAUGUCGAAAUAUUGGAGGUUUGUCAAUAAAGGAUUGAAUUGCGAUGUGAGGUGUAUGUUUGGAUUUCUGGAUGAAUCAAGAGAAAGAGUUUUCAGUUAAGAGAUGGAAAUUAAAUUAGUGAUUCGAAGUUAUAUUUAGAAUAUAGGUUGUUGAAUAUUAAGUUCUUAUAUGAUGUUUCAGUAUUAUAUUGUCUUGGGAAUCGAACAGAGUAUUAUGUAAUCUGUUAAUUGAUAUUGAAGGUGAUUUGUUGUUGUGGGCCCUGACCCACAGGUUCA